rnacentral:ncRNA from 1 species
AUAAAAGCAAUGAAAAAGAGGAGUAGAAAUUUUUUCGCAUUAAAGGAAACUAACUCAGGAGAGUUUGGGAGUACGGUUCUUUUAGCAAGGAAACUCACUCAGACGAGCUGAGGAGUACAGUUCUUUAGCUAAAUCAUAGAUUUAGAAAGAACUAGCAAGAACUAGCAAGAACUAGCAAGAGAGAGGGAAUAGCUGGAAACCCUUAUGCAGGAAAUUUUGAAGGUAGCUUUUGAGCUUCUUUAGUGAAAUAGUAGUAGCUAAAGACGGUUUAUCUGAGCCGUUAUUUGAAUUAAGAGUCCAUUAGAGCAUAUACUUGCUUGCGUGGAAAUAAAGGUGGUACCGCGAGUCUUCGUCCUUUUG